GAGAUUAUCAAUCCACACGCAACCACUGCACCGUGUUGAAAUCCAUUCGAUGUGCACGGAGCCGAAAAUCAUUGUGCCAUCCAACACAGAUGUCUAGCCGUGUCAGUACCGGCCGAUGUCUCUCCUCCUCGAACCACCGCAGCCAGUGGCGUACCUAUGUUUGUUUGAGGGCGGGUGGCAUGAACUCUGACUCAAUCCGGGUAUUCAAUCCCGCCACUAAGAUGCUCAGUUGACUCCUUAACCUUGAUAAGAACAUGGCUUAUUCAAUAAUUUGCGUAUAAGGAUAAGGAACUUUGGAUCUCGCCUAGGAACAUGAUGUUUUAGUAUGCGUCCUUGGAUCAGCCUUUAGCCAUUGGCGUUCAUUUUAUGUGCAUGUAGUCCACCGAUGCAACCACGACAGAGGCUCCGACCAACGUCACCAAGACCAAAUGUGGGCGCCACUUGUGAAUCCAUGAUAUGACUUCUUCACGGAGGAUUGCGUUGUGAUGGUUGAGAGGGAAAAGGAAAAAUAAAAUAAAAAAUCUGAGAAAAAAAAUUGUAGUUUGUCACACGUGCCUUUUUCUGUUAUUUUAAUUUUUAUUUAAAAUUUUUGAUUGGUUAGAUUUAGUAAGUUGGACGUUUAAGAUUUCGUGUAACACAUGAUAUAAACAGAUCUUAUCCCUAUUAAAAUUCGGAACAAAAAACUCAAAAAAUGGAACAGGAGCAAUGCCAUUUUGCUUCAACCCCAUUAUCAUGUUUUUUUUUAUAAGCAAAAGGAAAUUUCAUUGAGAUACUCAUUAUCAUGCUAGUUACUAAUAAGUUUUUCAGAA
rnacentral:lncRNA from 1 species